rnacentral:rRNA from 1 species
GACGAACGCUGGCGGCGUGCUUAACACAUGCAAGUCGAACGGGAUCCGGGCUUUCGGGUUUGGUGAGAGUGGCGAACGGGUGAGUAACACGUGAGUAACCUGCCCCCUUCUUUGGGAUAACGUCGGGAAAUCGGCGCUAAUACUGGAUAUUCUUGCUGCAUCGCAUGGUGUGGUUUGGAAAGGGUUUCUGGUGGGGGAUGGGCUCGCGGCCUAUCAGCUUGUUGGUGGGGUGAUGGCCUACCAAGGCUUUGACGGGUAGCCGGCCUGAGAGGGUGUCCGGCCACACUGGGACGGAGACACGGCCCAGACUCCUACGGGAGGCAGCAGUGGGGAAUAUUGCACAAUGGGCGCAAGCCUGAUGCAGCGACGCCGCGUGAGGGAUGACGGCCUUCGGGUUGUAAACCCCUUUCAGUAGGGAACAAGGAUCCUUCGUUUGGGGGGUUUGAGGGUACGUGCAGAAGAAGCGCCGGCUAACUACG